CCAAUGGAGCCUCAGCAGUGAAUGGGUGCCAUCAGACUGAGAGUCCAAACGGCUCAUAAAUCAGAAUAAUCCACAAGCAAUCCACAUGACUGCAGUCCAUUAAUUAACAUCUU